UACGUAGGGGGCAAGCGUUAUCCGGAUUUACUGGGUGUAAAGGGAGCGUAGACGGAAUUGCAAGUCUGAUGUGAAAAUCCGGGGCCCAACCCCGGAACUGCAUUGGAAACUGCCAUGCUAGAGUGCUGGAGAGGUAAGUGGAAUUCCUAGUGUAGCGGUGAAAUGCGUAGAUAUUAGGAGGAACACCAGUGGCGAAGGCGGCUUACUGGACAGUAACUGACGUUGAGGCUCGAAAGCGUGGGGAGCAAACAGG
rnacentral:rRNA from 1 species